rnacentral:rRNA from 1 species
UACGUAGGGGGCAAGCGUUGUCCGGAUUUAUUGGGCGUAAAGAGCGUGUAGGCGGCCAGAUAGGUCCGUUGUGAAAACUCGAGGCUCAACCUCGAGACGCCGAUGGAAACCAUCUGGCUAGAGUCCGGAAGAGGAGAGUGGAAUUCCCGGUGUAGCGGUGAAAUGCGCAGAUAUCGGGAAGAACACCCGUGGCGAAGGCGGCUCUCUGGAACGCAACUGACGCUGAGACGCGAAAGCGUGGGGAGCAAACAGGG